AACGAACGCUGGCGGCAUGCCUAACACAUGCAAGUCGAACGAGACCUUCGGGUCUAGUGGCGCACGGGUGCGUAACGCGUGGGAACCUGCCCUUAGGUUCGGAAUAACUCCCCGAAAGGGGUGCUAAUACCGGAUAAUGUCUUCGGACCAAAGAUUUAUCGCCUUUGGAUGGGCCCGCGUUGGAUUAGCUAGUUGGUAGGGUAAAAGCCUACCAAGGCGACGAUCCAUAGCUGGUCGGAGAGGAUGAUCAGCCACACUGGGACUGAGACACGGCCCAGACUCCUACGGGAGGCAGCAGUGGGGAAUAUUGGACAAUGGGCGAAAGCCUGAUCCAGCAAUGCCGCGUGAGUGAUGAAGGCCUUAGGGUUGUAAAGCUCUUUUACCCGGGAUGAUAAUGACAGGACCGGGAGAAUAAGCUCGGGCUAACUCCGU
rnacentral:rRNA from 1 species